GGUAAAAGCCUACCAAGGCCACGAUCAGUAGCCGACCUGAGAGGGUGAUCGGCCACAUUGGAACUGAGACACGGUCCAAACUCCUACGGGAGGCAGCAGUGGGGAAUAUUGCACAAUGGGCGAAAGUCUGACGGAGCAACGCCGCGUGAGUGAAGAAGGCCUUCGGGUUGUAAAGCUCUGUUAUUCGGGAAGAACGAUUCGUUUGUGAACAAUGAACGGAAGUGACGGUACCGAAAGAGAAAGCCACGGCUAACUAC
rnacentral:rRNA from 1 species